rnacentral:rRNA from 1 species
GAUGAACGCUGGCGGCGUGCCUAAUACAUGCAAGUCGAGCGAACAGAUAAGGAGCUUGCUCCUUUGACGUUAGCGGCGGACGGGUGAGUAACACGUGGGUAACCUACCUAUAAGACUGGAAUAACUCCGGGAAACCGGGGCUAAUGCCGGAUAACAUGUUGAACCGCAUGGUUCUACAGUGAAAGGCGGCUUUGCUGUCACUUAUAGAUGGACCCGCGCCGUAUUAGCUAGUUGGUGAGGUAAAAGCUCACCAAGGCAACGAUACGUAGCCGACCUGAGAGGGUGAUCGGCCACACUGGAACUGAGACACGGUCCAGACUCCUACGGGAGGCAGCAGUAGGGAAUCUUCCGCAAUGGGCGAAAGCCUGACGGAGCAACGCCGCGUGAGUGAUGAAGGUCUUCGGAUCGUAAAACUCUGUUAUUAGGGAAGAACAAAUGCGUAAGUAACUGUGCGCGUCUUGACGGUACCUAAUCAGAAAGCCACGGCUAACUACGUG